GUGGCUUCCAGGUGAGAGCUCCGGAUCCGUGCGGCCCUGCUCCUGGCAAACCUCGGGGACAAGGGUCCUUCCGAAAUUUAGCAGCUGGAGGCUUGGACUGGGGGUAAUUUUCCUUCUGAGACCCACGAGCUGUCUGUCCAUAACCCUUCUGAUUCCAAAUCUCCCGUUUCCUCCUGGCCCAGCCUGAUGCGUGUCCCCCAAUCCGGACAAACCUGCUUGAGAAAUAGACACCCCCCCCCCCCACCUCCUUAAAAUUAGCCUCGCCGCGGUCUCUCUUCUCUUCCCCCAAGACCGGGUGCAGAGAGACCAGCGGAGUUUCUCAACUUGAGUUUCUCUAAUAAAUCUGCGCUCCGUUGGGUGUUUAUAAAUUAUCUCCUCGCUCUUUCUUGUUUUUUCUUAUAAUAGAAACAUUUUCCUUCCAUCAGGAAUUUCUGGCACGGUGUAGGGAUGAUUUAGAACAAGUCAUUGAAUUUCUACCUCACCGCUCUCUCUCGCGCUCGCUCUCUCUCGCUCGCACCCUCGCUCUGCGUUCUGUCCGGGAGGAGUACGGAGAAGCCAAUAGGAUGCGGGGUCUCUAAUGGAUGCAAAUGAUCAUGAAAAGACAGUGCAAAAUAUGAAACAACUCAUUUGCAGGGAAGUAAAUCACCGAAAACUGUUUAUGAACUGGCAUCCCUUCUUCGAAAUGUAAAGCGAGGACCUCUUUAAGUGGCGCCCCCAACUACAGCCGCCGCCGCCGCCGCCGCCUCAAAAUUCAAUAAAAUGAGCUCUUAUUUCGUCAACUCACUGUUCUCCAAAUACAAAACCGGGGAGUCCCUGCGCCCCAAUUAUUAUGACUGCGGCUUCGCCCAGGACCUGGGCGGCCGACCCACCGUGGUGUACGGUCCCAGCAGCGGGGGCAGCUUCCAGCACCCGUCGCAAAUUCAGGAGUUCUACCACGGGCCGUCGUCGCUGUCCACCGCUCCCUACCAGCAGAACCCGUGCGCCGUGGCGUGCCACGGGGACCCGGGCAACUUCUACGGCUACGACCCGCUGCAGCGACAGAGCCUGUUCGGUGCGCAGGAUCCAGACCUGGUGCAGUACGCCGACUGCAAGCUCGCCGCCGCCAGCGGCCUGGGCGAGGAGGCCGAGGGUUCAGAGCAGAGCCCGUCGCCCACACAGCUCUUCCCCUGGAUGCGCCCGCAAGCAGCCGCCGGACGCAGGCGAGGCCGACAGACCUACAGCCGCUACCAGACCCUGGAGCUGGAGAAGGAGUUCCUAUUUAAUCCCUAUCUGACUCGCAAGCGGCGGAUCGAGGUAUCGCAUGCGCUGGGACUGACAGAGAGACAGGUCAAAAUCUGGUUCCAGAACCGGAGGAUGAAGUGGAAAAAAGAGAACAACAAAGACAAGUUCCCCAGCAGCAAAUGCGAGCAGGAGGAGCUGGAGAAACAGAAGCUGGAGCGGGCCCCGGAGGCGGCGGACGAGGGCGACGCGCAGAAGGGCGACAAGAAGUAGGCUCCAGCUGGGACUGCCAGGGCCGCGGCUGCCCUCCGUCCGCGGGUCCCCCGACCACGCCGCCGUCGCCCGCCCCCGCCCGAGAGAGCUCUGGCCCCGCGAGCGGGGCCGGGAGCCUGGCCUCCCGCCGCAGCGUCCCCCGCCGCGCCAGUCCCCGCUAGUGGUAGUAUCUCGUAAUAGCUUCUGUGUGUGAGCUACCGUGGAUCUCCUUCCCUUCUCUUGGGGGCCGGGGGAGGGAAAAGAAAAGGAUUUUAAGCAAGGACUCCCUCGCCCUGCGAAGGUGAGCGGCUGCGGCCUGGCUGAGCCCCCCACGCCCCCGCCCCGUGUAAAAAGCCUCCUUGUGCAAUGGUCUUUUUUCCUUUGAACGUGCUUCUUUGUAAUGACCGAGGUACCGAUUUCUGCUAAGUUCUCCCAACAACAUGAAACUGCCUAUUCACGCCGUAAUUCUUUCUGUCUCCCUCCCCUUCUCUCUUCUCUCUCUCUCUCUCUCUCUCUCUCUCGUUCUCUCUUUCCUCUCCUCUCUCGCCCUCUUCUUUUCUCUCCACCAGACCCUUAAAAGCCCCUUUGUUUUGUGGCACCACAAACCAGAGGGAUUUCAUCAUUUGACCCCCAGGGGGCCUGUUAUUUUCUAAGGGUAAGUCACCCUCUUCUAAAAACCAGAGGCCUCCUCUCCACCAAACUGACCACCGUCCCCCCCCCCUUUUAAGAUCCAUGGGGUCUGCCACCCUGUCACUCCUGUUUUUGCCGGCCUGCCAGCUUAUCAACUCCUGUGGAUAGUUCCUCAAAUUGGACAUGUGGCGCCUUAAGGGGCUUCUGAUCUUCGGGACAAGGAGAGGGCCACAAGAUUCCCUUCAUUUCCCAUUAAAGGAUGCCUGCCCUCUGCCUCUCUCCUCUCCUCCCUGCAGCCACUCUCUGUUCCCUGAGCUCUCCAGUCCCUGCCCAGGCCUGACUUAGGAGAGCCUUCACAGGUUUGAGAGCAAAGAGGACAGAGAGCUUGGUGUCCUCACCCUGAUUUGAAGAUGAAUCUCCCCAAGAAUGAUGAGGCAUUGGUAUCCCUUGGAAAGGAGACUCUGGUCAGUUCCCAAAGGAUCCUCAGCAUCCUUUAAGAUACCAAUAUAUUUUCGAGGCAUAGCUUCCCCACGCUCCCACUCUGGACAAGGCAAAUGAGUUGAGUAAGGUGCAGAGGAAGAGUGCAGCAGGGGCAGAAUCUGACCUGGGGCCUCCUGGGAAGCCCCAUUGCCAUGUGCCCUGGCCUCCCUCCAACGCCGCCUCCUUCUCUCAGAAACCCCAGACCACCAGGCCUGCCUUGAAGAUUUUUUUUUUUUUUUUGCCCCCUUCCAUGUCAGCUCUGCAAACUCUGAUAAAGAAACGUGUGGGGCUGGUGUCCCAGGGACAUCUGCUGGGCAUAUCUAGACAGAUUUUCCGGAAUGGCAAAAAGAAGCCCAAGGCGGGGGUGCCCACUUCCUCCCUGGAGGCCAAAACCCUUGAAGGGUCUGGUCUCCUCCUCUAAGUGGCUCCUGAAGACCCUCCGGCUGGGUUUUCCCCUUCUCUACUUUAGGUUGUCUGGGCAAUGGUCUCCCUUAAAAACCAACAAGGAUGUGUUGGGGGAGGGGGUGAGAGAUGGGAAGGGGUUUCUGGUGCAAGGAGCUUCUUCUCCUUUGCUAUAGCCCCCCCUUCUCACCGCCCCCCCCCCCGCCCUUCCCUCCAAGAUGUUCUUUGGGAAAGCUGUUCCCCAGUCUGGAGGACUCUUCUCUCCCUUCUCACCCACUUGCUUCCCCUCCCUGGCUGAGCCCAGGCCUCAACCUUGUGAGCUACGGGCUGGUACCCUCUGGCCAGAUCCUUACGCCCAUCCUUGCAACUGCCCAGCACCCUCAACCCCGGGCAGGGCGGAGGAGGCAGCCAGGGAUUGAGGCCGCAGUUGCCCUUUUCCCCCCAAGGCCAGCCUGACCAGCACUCUGCAGACAAUUUGAUUUUGAUUUUUUUUGUUUUGUUUUAUUUGGUUAUUUUGUUUUGUUUUGGUUUGUUUCUCUGCGCCACGGGGCGGGAGGAAGUAUAAAGAAGUGUAAACAGGAAAGCCAGCCGGCCCUGGAGUUCUUAGCGCCCAUAUUUCAUCGGCGGCUUCCUCUCCAUAACUGCAGCACGGACACUUAACCCUUCCCUGGCUGUGAGAAUGUAUUCCCUGGGGGUGGUGGGGACAGGGUGUGGGGGCAAGAUCCAAAUAGAAGCUCCUUUCCCCGGCCCGGUUCCUUUAUCCCUGGGGUCUGAAUGCUGGGGCAGAAGCCAAGGAUUUGGAGCAAGAGAAAAAACAGACCGCUCUCCCAAACUCAACCCCUUCCAGGGCAGUGAGGAGAAGGCUCUCCCUGCAUGGGCUUUUCAGCUUGGGGACCAACUGGAUCGACCAAGGAGGACAGAGCUAGGGAGAACCCCUCCCAUGCUUUAGGGUCACUCUCUCCAUUUUUGGAGUUUCUAGAAGUAAUCAGAUUUCGAGGCUGGGAUCUGCCCACAGCAGGAUUUAUCGAUUGCUGCAGCGCUGUUACACAUCCAUAUUAAUUAACCCAGACACCGGCCUGGAAACUGAGCUGCUUGGGGAGGAGGAGGAGGGGAGAAAUAGGGGCCCCUUAAGGAAAAUGGACAUUUCUCCCUAAGUGCCCCCAGGGCCCAGAUUGGAGAGUCCUUCUCCACCAGAAUCGUGUGGCCUUCCCCAAGCUUGAUGUCCCCGCACUUCUCAGCAGGGGCAAGCGUGCCUUCAUCCCCACAGUCAGAAUCCACACACAAAUAUUCUCAGGGGUGGAAUUAAACACCCCUCAGGCCUGACUCUUCCUUGUCAGAGGUAGGGUGCCCCAGCCCUCCAAGGGAUGGAUCCUUUGGUGGAUAUUCGCAGCACGACCUUUCUAGAGGGCUUCCCGCCUCCUCCCCACCUUCCUUCCAACUUCCUCCAGGUAGAAGCUUUUUUAUGGUUUGGGGGCUUGUUUUGUUUUUAGUGUUUGGUGGUGGUGGUGGUGGUGGUGGUGAUGGCCUUCCCUUUCGUCUUCCCCCUCCCUCCAAAAAGUGAUUAAAAUCUGUUAAAGGAUUUAAUUAAGACAGUUAAAUGAAAAGGAAGGAGGCGCAAAUGAGUUGGGGGAAAAAACCCACACCAAAGCUAUUCUCAACGAUUAAAUCGCCAUUUUAACAAUAUAAUGGAGUUUGCAUCCUGAAAGGGGAAAUCAACGCUCAUAUCUCAUCAAUAAUUCAUAGAGUCCGGGAUCACGCAGAGGUCAGCAGACGGGGCCGAAGCGCCGGCCUGCUUGGGGCUCCGAGCCGCUGGAGCCGCUGCCGCAUACAUUACGCGCCGCGGGCCGCGCUGCCGCCACCUCCGCGGCGGCUUGGGCCGGGGACGCGCCUGCUUACAGGUUUAGGCUGAUUUUCGGAUUUUUCGUUCUUCCUUUUGGUGAAUUUACUGAGACCCAGAUUUCGGGCUCCCAGAAGAUGUGGGGGAUUUAGGAGACGGGAGAGGACUGGACUUGGGAGCGAUUUGGGACCGGUCGCACCUGGCAUGUCACCACCUUUCCAAGUUUUAAUCUCUUCUCCACCUUUUUUUCUCCGUUUCCCUGUUUCAGGCGUCUUCUGUCCUGUCUCUUCUCUCCCCACAUUUCCACUUGAAGAGGAAGAUGCACUCGCUGCAGCUUCUUCUAGCGUCUCUUCCCCGGGGAAGAGGCUCCCAGGCUGCCCGGCCGGGUUCUGGCCUUGCAGUCCGAGUAGUUACGGGCUGAGCCCACAUAGCUGUGGCCCUGGUUUCGGCCUCUGAGCCUUGACGCUGUCUUUGAUUAUAGCGAUCCCUGACCUCGGAGCCCUGUGGGGUAGGGAUGAAUGUGCCCAGGGAGGAAAGGGAUCUCACAGGCCCCAGUCCGGCUUGCCUGGUCAAGAUGACCCCGGGCCAGGUGGGAAGGGAAGGAUUCAGCUCGGAAGGCAGCAUCUGGAGGAAAAGUAGAGGGAAAGUGCCAGCAUGUGAGAACAUCUCCCCUUGGAGCUUGAAGGCGGGAUGCAGGAUAAUCUCUCUAUUUUGGAAAUUCUGCAGGCUUGUUCCAUUCUCUGUGUUUGUGCCUCUCUAAUUUGCUCUCUUCUGUUUUCUGACUCCCAACGGGCCCCUGGGGAAGGAGGAAGGAAACCUGUCCCUGUGAGAGGUGCGGUCCUGAGAGGGGAUAUUUGGGCACAAGGGAAACCGAAAGAGCGCAGGUCGCCUGUAUGGCCGCUGCGCUGGCCGAGAAGCAGAGGCUGUAACGUCCCCGAGCUGCCAGUAGAGUCCGCCUUAGACCAAGUUCACAGCCAGGCUGGGGCCUCUGAGGCGCCAGCGAGCGGCCGUGCAAGGUGGCCCCGGGCCCGCUGGGUCUCGCACGGCCUGGACACUGAGCUCUCUUUCCAGCCCUUUGGGGACUGUGGCUCCCUCCGCUCUCAAAGAACCCUUGCUCCAAGCUCUCUCCACUCUUCACCCCAGAAACUCCCUCCUCCAGGUCAGCCGACGCGUCUUACUGCACCCUGUGUGUCCCCACGCCCAGCACCCGCGGCCCCACUCGGGGACAAGAAUGGAGAGGACGGGUCAUCCAAAGCCUUUCCAGGCACUCCACAGGAGAGACCGGUGGAAAUGCGGGAAGUGGGGUCGAUGCAGGAAGUGGGGUGGCGUUUUUGUUUUGGUUUUGGUUUUUUUUCCGAAGGAGCUAUUUAAUAAUCAAGACUCCUCUUCCCCAGAGCUAAGGCCCUUAGUGGAGGUUGGGGACGGUGGUGAGCGGGGGAGGGGCACAAAAAGCGUUUUUGCGCUUGGAUUUCUGCAGCCGGCGCAGCAGAAUGAGACCCUGGGCCGUGAGGCCAGUGUUAUUGCCAGAGGGGUCGCAAAGUUGGAGGGUCAAAAGUUUACAGCGUGCGUGAGCGGGCGGCGGCGUCUAGCGGCGGGGGCGGGCUGGGCAAGGGGAGGAGGCUGUGUGAGUGGAGAGAGAAGAGAGGGAGCAAGGUGUGCUGGAGGUAUGGGAGACGUGUGCUGGGGGCGUGGGGGAGCAGAAGUGGGGUGGAGAGACUGACACCUGGGAAAGGAGACACUGGCGUAGAGGAGAAACCCUUCUCCAAACCCUGGAGCUGGUGGGGUGGGGAAGCCGCACAAAAGAGCGCUCGGGGCAUGGAAUCCUCUGCGCAAUUUUCUCUCCCAAAGAUAACCUUUGAGUCACCAUAUAAAAUGUAAUUAAAACCUACCCGGCCGCACACAUUAAAAAAAAAAAAAAAUCCAAUUACCCACACGUCCUUGCAGGACAUUUGAUGGGGCCAAAGAAGGCUUCCAAGGUGAAGGCCUGAUUCUCACCAACAUCAGCCCCACCCUGCUUCCCCUAAAGGGGCCAAACAGCUGACUCCCCCAACUCCCCCUUUUGCCCCCAGGCAGGCCUGUUUUUCAGGGUUUCCUAGCCCCCAGGCUGGGUCCAGGCAGCUGGAGUCCAUGACUCCUAUGGGCUAGGACUGGAGGGUUUCUGAACUCCCAUUCCUCUUUCCAAAUUGCUUGGGUUUAAGAAGGUGGAUAUUGAAAGAAGGCUGGCUUGCUAAUCCUCGCACUCUCCCAAACCUCCACUUGUGUGUGCAUCCAGAAUCCCUCUCUUCCUAUGUGGAGGAGGGAGGGGAAAUGAGAAGGAAAAAUACUGAAUGGCCUCACAGAGAUCUUUUUAACUGGAGUUGAAACAAGCGACCUGAAAUGAACCUCCAAUCCAUGCAUUAGGCUGCGCUCAUAAGUAACAUGUUUACAGGGACUCUGUAAUUAUAACACCAGGGCAUAUGCCUAUUUUUGGUCUUUAAAUGACUGUUUGUUGUGUUAUGAAAUGUCUUCAUCUUCUGUGCUAAGCAUUGGGUAUAGGAGGUGCGCUGUGGGUGUUUGUCCUGAGAGUUUUCAUAAAGAUGCCUUUUGAAAUAUGGCCGGAAGAGACAACAACUUAAUGGCAGAUUUUACAUCAAUUUGCCCCAGUUUUUGCCUAACCAGUUGGGUGUGGGUCCCCAUUUCUACUCAGCCUUGGGACACGUUUCUCUGAGGAGUCAGGCCAGGAAGGAAUUCCUGAAGUCCAGAAGGGGUAGAGGUCAAAGCCUGAACAGGAACUCCUGUUCCUCCUCUGUGUCUUCUUCCUCCUUUCCAGGACAGAAUGCUAGCAAAUUUAUGGUUCUGAGGACUAGCCUGGAGCAGCCAAAGGGCCUGGGCUGGAGAGGCCUCGGGAAGGGGAAAAGAGAGUCCUCAGCCAUCCUGGCCAAACCAGGUGUUUGGGGAUGUUCUCUCCCAUCUCCCUGGGCUAGGGGGGUAUAUCUCCCUGCAGACACUCACCCUAGACUUAAACUGGGUGGAAGGGGAGUCACCUGACCUACCUCUGCUGGUCCCUUGGAGGCUGGGGAAAGGGGAAAAUGUGUUGUUGACAAUCCACCAAUUCUAAUCCUUGAGAGACAAAUCAAAGAAAGUCUCUGAGUAUUUUUAAUGCCUCCUUGCUUUAUUCCAGUACCUCCUUGUGGUGGUGAUGGGGGUAGGUAAAAAGAGUUACUGUAUAGAUGAGAAGUGGUUUUAAACAAAAAACGGGGGGGGGGGAGGGGGGGGAGCGGAGUAUUGUUUUGUUUUUAAAGGGAAAUUAAGGCCUCUGAAAGCCAAGUCCCAAGCUUUGACCAGCACAGUCCAGCUCCUCUCUCAGGGUUCUCUGUCUUUCCCAAAUGUGCUGGCCUAUGGACCAAUUCUCACCCCCACGAGGUGGAGGACUCAUUCCUGGGGCCCUGGAGCCUCCAAAGUUUGAGCAGAAAGGGGGAUAUCUCUGGCACUGGGGAAUGGAAUAAAGCAGAUAGAGUAUGCAAGGGGGUGGGCAUACAGGCCCUACCAAUGCAGCCAUUUAAUAGUGAAGGCAGGAGGGAAGGGGGCUCCGGCUCAGGCCUGCUCUCAGGGACCCAGAUCCCGAAGGCCGCUUCUCCAGAUGCCAUCCUCCCUCAUAGGCCCCCAAAGGAGCCCCUGUGGAAUCAUCCUACCCUCUCCCACUUUUCCCUGGGAACCAGAACUGGCAAAAAUACAGGAGUGAUGGAAUAUCAAGGUGAAGGUGGGGCAGGCUGAGCCCUAUCGGAAUGGGACUUUUUUGGGGGUGGGGGUUGGGUGAAGGGAAGAGAAGGUUCUGGCAAAAAAAAAAAAAAAAAAAAAAGUAGAGCUGGGGAGGAUGAGCUGAAUCAAAUUCCUGCUCCGUCAUUUUUCUCCCAAGUAAUGACCUGCGCAAAAUUCAAUAUGACCGAGCGAACUGCGCCAGCGUAUUAUAGUAACUGCCUGCUCGUGGGGGAGGCCCGGAGAGGGGUGAACCGUAGGUCACAGCGUCUAAAAAUUAUUAAAAUGUUCGAGAGCCUCGUGACGCGCCUCGCUGUUUAACAAAGACUGACAAAGUAUGAGAUUAAUACGAAAACUUGCGCCUCAAAAACAAAAACCCAUCAAAAAAAAAAAAAAAAAAAGUCUUGUUCCGGCCUCCAAGGAGGCCCGGAGCUGCUGUGCCCGCAGCCGCGGUUCGGUUUUCCGGACACACAAUAGUGGACAAGAGCGAGCUCCUCUGUGGCCGAGCGGGCCCGAGGGCGGGUCUGCGGCCGGGAGGGCCGCAAAUCUCCGCAGACCGGCUGUUGGGGGAAAAAAGUGUUAGCUGGCUCUCCCGGAUCUGCGAGGGGGAAAAAAUUUGGAACCAUAAAGUUGAAAACUUUUUUCUCUCAGUUUGGAAGAAGCCCUUCGUCAUGAAUGGGAUCCGCAGAAUUCAGGCCAGAGGAGGCGAGAGGCGCAAAGGAGGGGAGAUUUCUCGCCUGCCGCUCGCGCUGGGGCUCGAUGUGAAUAUAUAUUAUGUCUGCCUGUUCUCCCCUCGUCGGUGGCUAAGGUAAGCUGGACUGAAAUAGGCUAUCAGUUUGUGAAUGGCGGAGAGUAUGUCUCAAUGAUUUAUGGCCCAUAUGACUCCAAUCUCGGUUCAAGAAGAGUUCACAAGCUUUAAGCUUCCUUCCACGCAGCGACUCUCCUCUCCUCUCCUCUCUCUCUCUCUCUCCCUCUCUCUCUCCCUCCCCCUCCCUCCCUCCCUCCCUCUCUCUCUCUCUCUCUCCCUCUCUCCCUCUCCCUUCUUGCUUCUCUCCUUUUCUCCUCUUUUUUCUUUCAGCAGCCAGAGCCAGAGCUGAAUUUCCCCCGGCUGCUAAGAAGAGCCUAAGCUUUCUCUCCUUUCCUUUCUUGUUCUUUUAUUUUUCUUCCUUCCACUAAUUUUUUUUUUUUUUUUUAAGUCCUGGAAGGUGGCCUAUCCCCUCUCUCCAGGCUUCCCCAGCUAUUGUUACUGUCCUCGGCUCUUUUCAGGGGUGUGCCUGGACAGGUGGGGUUCUUGGGGUGGCUCACCGCCCUCCUCCAACGAGACCCUGGGGGGAAGCCGGGAGCCACCGUCUCCCUCCCUCCCUCUCUCCCGAGAAGCCAUAUGGAGCCUGGAUUUUUCCAACAUGGAGGCAAGGGAAAUAGACAUGUUUGGCUUGGUAGAGCUGCUCCCCACCCCCUCUUCUCCUGGAUCCCCAGAUCUCAGAUCCCCUCAGCACCUUCACCUCUUCUCACUGUCCCACCAGCCAGGCCUCUGCGCCCUCCGGUCGAUCCGGGCCUGGCAAAGUCCCAGAGCGGAGUUGCUAAGGCGCCUUUUAAUUCGGUUACCUCCAGCGCCCAAACUUGCUGCCCUCCGCCCGGUGUGCUUGGAACCUGCCGCCGCUAGCCGUUGAGGCGUCCUGAACGCUUUCUCUUCGCCUCCUUGGGCCAGCAUAGCUAGUCACCAGCCACCGCGGCAGCAGUGGCCGAGACAGCCCGGAGGCGGCAGCCAGGGGCUAGCUCCGUCCACAAACCUCCCGGCCCUUUCUCGCCGCCAGCGGAGUCUCCAUUCUUUCCUGUUACGUGUCUGGCUUCUCUGCUUCCCACACUCGCCUGGCCUCUGUCCUGCGAUGGUUUGCAGGUUUAUUGCAGGGGGAACGACAGGAAUUUCGGCCCCAGGCGUCUAGUCAGAUUAUUGCUUUAUCAUCAUCAUCACCAUCAUCAUCAUCAUCAUCAUCAUCAUUACUGCUGUAACAAUCAUUUAGACUAAAUAAAGCCAGGGCCCAGCCAGCCAACCCCUUC